rnacentral:lncRNA from 1 species
AAUUUGAUAAGGUAUCUUCAAUCUCUUCGUGAAGGUAAGAAUCUAGCCGAUAUUCUCUCUCUCCGCCGAUCCAGCUCCGGUUAGGAUCAUCGGUGCCAUCAUCUUUUCAAUGUAUACGGGAUCAUCUGUGGUUUACUUCCGCGAAAGGUAUUACCUUUUUCACAUUUCUCUUCCUCCUUUGUUCAUUUUACAGUUUUGAUUUGCGGUAUGGUUGGUGGCUGAUGGUGGAAUCACUGCUUUUCACAUGGCUGCCUUGAAUGGAGUAUUUGACUAUGUGUAACUUUUGUUUGAUCUUGAUCUUGUUUUGUUUCAGUUUUGUGUCAUGAAUCAAUACAUGUCUUGAAUCAGUUUGUGACCUAAAUCACUUUUGUGUCUUUGUUUAAUCACUUUUGUGUCUUUGUUUAAUCAGUUUUGUGUUUGUGUCAUGAAUGAACGCAUGUCUUGAAUCAGUUUUGGUCAUGAAUCAGUUUGUGUCAUGUAUUAGUGCAUGUCUUGAAUCAGUUUUGUGUUUGUGUAAUUGUUUUUCUUCUGUCAUUUUGCAGGAGAUAAUAAGUACAAGAAGAUGGCAACUUGAGGAUGGCAAGUUGAGAUGACAAGUACAAGCAGACGACAACAUUCUCAGAACUAAUUAUAUAUUGGUUUUGUUCCCUGAUUGGUGUUGGAUUUGUUACUGCUGAAUAUUGUUAUGAACUCUCUUAAGGGAUUUAGUGUUGGAGAUGCUNNN